CAGCCGCCGCGGUAAUACGUAGGUGGCAAGCGUUGUCCGGAAUUAUUGGGCGUAAAGGGCUCGCAGGCGGUUUCUUAAGUCUGAUGUGAAAGCCCCCGGCUCAACCGGGGAGGGUCACUGGAAACUGGGAAACUUGAGUGCAGAAGAGGAGAGUGGAAUUCCACGUGUAGCGGUGAAAUGCGUAGAGAUGUGGAGGAACACCAGUGGCGAAGGCGACUCUCUGGUCUGUAACUGACGCUGAGGAGCGAAAGCGUGGGGAGCGAACAGGAUUAGAGACCCCGGUAGUCCCUGUCUCUUAUAC
rnacentral:rRNA from 1 species